AUCAGUAACUAGACUCUUCUCCUCCAUUGUUCCCCGAUGGUGGAACGACCUACCAAACUCUGUCAGAUCUACAGGGUCUGGACCUACUUUUAAGAGCAAGCUAAAGACUCUUUAAGGAGCACUUCUGCAUCUAGUAAACUUCUCUGCUCAUCAGAAUUAGUUAGGAGAUUUCCCCAGCUCUUGCAGGACUCAGCACUGACUCUCUCCGCUACCUGUGAACCCACGACCUCUCACACAUGAUCUUCUGCAUCCUGACCCCUCGACCUUUCUUCCUUGGAGGUCACGGAAACGCAGCCCUGAUCCAGAGCCUUUGCAGCAAAAGACAAGCCAUAAAACAUCCACGGAGGCUCAUUGUGCAGACUGUCAGAGAAGGCAUUCCCUCGUCGCUGCCCAGGCCUCAGGAAGAUAAAAGACGACCAUCUGGCCAAGGACGCCCCACAAUGCUGUGCCACACCUCGAAACAUUUCUGUAGCUGUGCUCAGUACCAAUGCUCUGCAGGGGGAUUUCAUGUGCAGUGAAAGUGCUCUCUGUUUAUUCUCCACGGAUUUGACUCACUCCGUUUCGUUAUGAGUUGCAUCUGCACGUAUGGGUAUACAGCGGGGGUGGGGGGUGGCAUGCAAAUUGUCCUGUGAGGAGUAAGAGACUAAUGAUUUAGUCAGUUCCUGUUAGUCACACAUGGUAUUUGUAGUAGUUUUUUCUUUCUUGAAUGAGUCAUGGUUCUGAGAAAAAAAUUAGACGCACACACAGAUAAUGAGAUCUAUCGAUGUACUGUAUACAAGAGUAAAUAAUUGCCAAUUGCUACAAAUCAUGAUGUCCUUGAGGCUUCACAGACCCUCACAAUGGACGUACUCAUAGUUUACAUCUGGCAACAACCCCAGCGUGCAUGCCUUUGCACGUGUACUGUGUAUACACGAACAGAUAAAGAAUGCUGAAGUCACGGAUGUUUACAGCCCCCUUGAGGAAACUGUGAGUCAAGUCUGAAUUUCUGCCGCGAUUCAUCAGAAAAACCUUCAACCAUCUCUGGAAAGCCUGGAUGAUGCAUUGUGGAGACACAUACACACAAGUUUAUUUCUCUUUUUUAAUAAUACAAUCAAAAAUCCGUCUCCAUGCUUGAGGAAUGAUACAAUUCACAGACUAUGAUGCUUUUACACAGAAUGAUUUGGCGCAAUUUGAUGCAAUUGAAUACACUACUAAACCAUUCUUAACACUUAUGGUACCAGGGAGCUUCUUCGGAAGCGUGUUCAAGUUCUUGCAGUUUCCCCG